UACGUAGGGGGCAAGCGUUGUCCGGAAUCAUUGGGCGUAAAGCGCGUGUAGGCGGCUCGGUAAGUCUGCUCUGAAAGCCCGGGGCUCAACCCUGGGAGGCGGGUGGAUACUGCUGAGCUCGAGUCCGGAAGAGGCGAGUGGAAUCCCUGGUGUAGCGGUGAAAUGCGCAGAUAUCAGGAGGAACACCAAUGGCGAAGGCAGCUCGCUGGGACGGUACUGACGCUGAGACGCGAAAGCGUGGGGAGCAAACAGG
rnacentral:rRNA from 1 species